rnacentral:misc_RNA from 1 species
GAUGAAGAACGCAGCGAAACGCGAUAAGUAGUGUGAAUUGCAGAAUUCAGUGAAUCAUCGAAUCUUUGAACGCACAUUGCGCUUCCUGGCAUUCCGGGAAGCAUGCCCAUUUCAGAAUCAUUAAAAUACACCUCAUCAUCUUUGAUGGUGGACAUUGGAUGGUUUGAUUGGAGUUCCUGGACAUUGAUCAAUCAUCUCAAAAUGAUUGUGCUGGCGUCGGCUGUUGUCGGUUAGCUUUUAAAGGUGCAAAAAGAUGAAUUUUCAAUUCACUUCCACCUCUUGAGCUAUCCAUUUUGCAAUACUGGUGUUGUGCACUCCUAAUGACCCAGGCUAUUCAGCUAAACUGGAUAACCUGUUAACUUGGUCUGAAAUUGGGCAAGAAAACCCGCUGAACUUAAGCAUAUCAAUAAGCGGAGGA